AGAGUUUGAUCAUGGCUCAGGACGAACGCUGGCGGCGUGCUUAACACAUGCAAGUCGAGCGAUGAAGCUCCUUCGGGAGUGGAUUAGCGGCGGACGGGUGAGUAACACGUGGGUAACCUGCCUCAUAGAGGGGAAUAGCCUUCCGAAAGGAAGAUUAAUACCGCAUAAGAUUGUAGUUUCGCAUGAAACAGCAAUUAAAGGAGUAAUCCGCUAUGAGAUGGACCCGCGUCGCAUUAGCUAGUUGGUGAGGUAACGGCUCACCAAGGCGACGAUGCGUAGCCGACCUGAGAGGGUGAUCGGCCACAUUGGGACUGAGACACGGCCCAGACUCCUACGGGAGGCAGCAGUGGGGAAUAUUGCACAAUGGGGGAAACCCUGAUGCAGCAACGCCGCGUGAGUGAUGACGGCUUCGGAUUGUAAAACUCUGUCUUCAGGGACGAUAAUGACGGUACCUGAGGAGGAAGCCACGGCUAACUACGUGCCAGCAGCCGCGGUAAUACGUAAGUGGCAAGCGUUGUCCGGAUUUACUGNNCGUAAAGGGAGCGUAGGUGGAUAUUUAAGUGGGAUGUGAAAUACUCGGGCUUAACCUGAGUGCUGCAUUCCAAACUGGAUAUCUAGAGUGCAGGAGAGGAAAGUAGAAUUCCUAGUGUAGCGGUGAAAUGCGUAGAGAUUAGGAAGAAUACCAGUGGCGAAGGCGACUUUCUGGACUGUAACUGACACUGAGCUCGAAGCGUGGGGAGCAAACAGGAUUAGAUACCCUAGUAGUCC
rnacentral:rRNA from 1 species